rnacentral:lncRNA from 7 species
GACGAUUGUGUUCGCGGUGUUGUACCCCAAAUUGGGAGGGGAACAAUGUACCCCAAAAAGGGCUCUGGGGACCCCAUUUCCUUCGGUUGUACCCCAAAAAGGGCUCUGGGGACCCCAAUUCCUUCGGUUGUACCCCCAAAAAGUGCUUUGGGAACCCCAUUGCCUUCAGUUGUACCCCAAAAAGGGUGCUAAGGACCCCAAUUCCUUCGGUUGUACCCCCAAAAAGGGCUCUGGGGACCCCAUUUCCUUCGGUUGUACCCCCAAAAAGUGCUUUGGGAACCCCAUUGCCUUCAGUUGUACCCCAAAAAGGGUGCUAAGGACCCCAAUUCCUUCGGUUGUACCCCCAAAAAGGGCUCUGGGGACCCCAUUGCCUUCGGUUGUGCCCCCAAAAAGUGCUUUGGGAACCCCAUUGCCUUCAGUUGUACCCCCAAAAAGUGCUUUGGGAACCCCAUUGCCUUCAGUUGUACCCCAAAAAGGGUGCUAAGGACCCCAAUUCCUUCGGUUGUACCCCCAAAAAGGGCUCUGGGGACCCCAUUGCCUUCGGUUGUACCCCCAAAAAGUGCUUUGGGAACCCCAUUGCCUUCAGUUGUACCCCAAAAAGGGUGCUAAGGACCCCAUUUCCUUCGGUUGUACCCCAAAAAGGGCUCUGGGGACCCCAUUUCCUUUGGUUGUACCCCCAAAAAGGGGUCUCGGGACCCCAUUGCCUUCAGUUGUGACCCAAAAAGGGGGCUAAGGACCCCAUUGCCUGUGACUGUAUCCCAAAAAGUGCUCUGGGGACCC